rnacentral:rRNA from 1 species
CUACGGGUCGCUGCAGUAAGGAAUAUUGGACAAUGGGGGCAACCCUGAUCCAGCCAUGCCGCGUGAGUGAAGAAGGCCUUCGGGUUGUAAAGCUCUUUUAGGUGCGACGAUGAUGACGGUACCACCAGAAAAAGCUCCGGCUAACUUCGUGCCAGCAGCCGCGGUAAUACGAAGGGAGCGAGCGUUGUUCGGAAUCACUGGGCUUAAAGCGUACGUAGGCGGAUUGGAAAGUCAGAAGUGAAAGCCCGGGGCUCAACCCCGGAAUUGCUUUUGAAACUUCCAGUCUCGAAUCCGGUAGAGGUUGGCGGAAUUCCGAGUGUAGAGGUGAAAUUCGCAGAUAUUCGGAAGAACACCAGUGGCGUAGGCGGCCAACUGGACCGGUAUUGACGCUGAGGUACGAAAGCGUGGGGAGCAAACAGGAUUAGAUACCCGUGUAGUC